rnacentral:lncRNA from 1 species
UAAUGACGGCAGAACGCAGCGAUAAUAGCUAACAUUUAUCAGGUGUCUGUUUGCAUUGGGCAUGCUGCUGAGUGCGUUACACAGGUUAUCUCAUUUAUUCUUCAAAACGACUCUGUGAAGUCGGAGUCAUUUUCCCCAUUUUGCCAAGAAGGAAACAGGACUUCGGAGAAGUAACUUGCCCAAAGCUGCAGAGCGCCCGCGUGGAGUUCCUACUUACUACCACAACAACGGUCAACAGCAUUUAAAGACACUUCCAAAAAUCCUCCAUACCGCAUCACCCUAACUCAGACUGCUGACUACAACCAGAAGAAAAGGAGAAAGGGCAAAGGAGAGCGACACCACCACAAAUUCAUGGUCGUCCCUCAGCCAGGUUUUGAACACUCAGCAGUCCUUCCCCUCAUCACUGGGUGGUUAUCAACUCUUAUCAAGUCUUCAUCAUUCCCACCACCCGAGUCCACCCCAGCCCCAGCCAUCACUUUAAUGACCAUAUAAUAAUCCACAGUAUGGAUGUAUCACGACUUAUUCAAACAGUCCUUAUUGUUGGACAAUUAGGUUAGGUAGGAAAAAGUACAUACAUGAAUGGGAAACACCAUCAUGUGGAGAAAACAAAAACAAAAGCAUUAUUCAAGACCAUGAGUUAACGUGAGUGAGUAGUAUUAUUUGAGGCAGGUGGGAUGGGGCUGGGGUUCUGGUAGAUGUUCAUGGGUCAUGAGAUUCAUGGCAGAGUGAACUUCACAGAGGUCCAUGAACCCAGCCAGGAGGCAACAUUUUGUACACAUCUGUGAAUGUUCUGGAGUGGGUCCAUGGCUUUCAUCAGCUGUUCCGAGGGGGCCUCCCCAAAAGUGAAAGGCCACUAAUCUGGUCUACACUUUGUAACAUAAGCACUGAUCAGAAGGGCCCAGAGAAUUUAUUUAAAAGAUCAGUGAAGUAAAAAUGUGAGUUUAAGUCCCACAGAGACCCAGGGUCAAAUCCCUGCUCUUCCGUUUCAUUUGUAUACCUUUGAAUAAGUUACUAAAAUUUUUGAGCCUUUAAAAUAGGAAUUUAGUGGCACCUGGGUGGCUCAGUGGGUAGAGCAUGCAACUCUUGAUCUUGG